UGGGGAAUUUUGGACAAUGGGCGCAAGCCUGAUCCAGCCAUGCCGCGUGAGUGAAGAAGGCCUUCGGGUUGUAAAGCUCUUUCGGACGGGAAGAAAUGGCGGGCUCUAACAUAGCCUGUCGAUGACGGUACCGUAAGAAGAAGCACCGGCUAACUACGUGCCAGCAGCCGCGGUAAUACGUAGGGUGCGAGCGUUAUCCGGAUUUACUGGGUUUAAAGGGUGCGUAGGUGGGCUUAUAAGUCAGUGGUGAAAUCUCCGAGCUUAACUUGGAAACUGCCGUUGAUACUAUAGGUCUUGAAUUAUCUGGAGGUAAGCGGAAUAUGUCAUGUAGCGGUGAAAUGCUUAGAUAUGACAUAGAACACCAAUUGCGAAGGCAGCUUACUACACAUAAAUUGACGCUGAGGCACGAAAGCGUGGGGAUCAAACA
rnacentral:rRNA from 1 species